rnacentral:rRNA from 1 species
AUACGGAGGGUGCAAGCGUUAUCCGGAUUUAUUGGGUUUAAAGGGUCCGUAGGCGGAUUAAUAAGUCAGUGGUGAAAUCCUAUCGCUUAACGAUAGAACUGCCAUUGAAACUGUUAGUCUUGAGUGAGGUUGCAGUGGCUGGAAUGUGUAGUGUAGCGGUGAAAUGCUUAGAUAUUACGCAGAACACCAAUUGCGAAGGCAGGUCACUAAGCCUCAACUGACGCUGAUGGACGAAAGCGUGGGGAGCGAACAGGAUUAGAUACCCUGGUAGUCCACGCCGUAAACGAUGGAUACUUGCUGUUGGAUUUUCGGAUUCAGUGGCUAAGCGAAAGUUAUAAGUAUCCCACCUGGGGAGUACGUUCGCAAGAAUGAA